rnacentral:rRNA from 1 species
AUACGGAGGAUCCAAGCGUUAUCCGGAUUUAUUGGGUUUAAAGGGUGCGUAGGCGGGCCCUUAAGUCAGUGGUGAAAGUUUGCAGCUUAACUGUAAAAUUGCCAUUGAAACUGAGGGUCUUGAGUGUAAAUAAGGUAGGCGGAAUGUGUUGUGUAGCGGUGAAAUGCUUAGAUAUAACACAGAACACCAAUUGCGAAGGCAGCUUACUGGGAUACAACUGACGCUGAGGCACGAAAGCGGUGGGGAUC